rnacentral:rRNA from 1 species
AGUUGAUCGCAUGGUCUUCUGGGAAGCUUUCGCGGUAUGGGAUGGGGUCGCGUCCUAUCAGCUUGACGGCGGGGUAACGGCCCACCGUGGCUUCGACGGGUAGCCGGCCUGAGAGGGCGACCGGCCACAUUGGGACUGAGAUACGGCCCAGACUCCUACGGGAGGCAGCAGUGGGGAAUAUUGCACAAUGGGCGCAAGCCUGAUGCAGCGACGCCGCGUGAGGGAUGGAGGCCUUCGGGUUGUAAACCUCUUUUAUCGGGGAGCAAGCGUGAGUGAGUUUACCCGUUGAAUAAGCACCGGCUAACUACGUGCCAGCAGCCGCGGUAAUACGUAGGGUGCAAGCGUUAUCCGGAAUUAUUGGGCGUAAAGGGCUCGUAGGCGGUUCGUCGCGUCCGGUGUGAAAGUCCAUCGCUUAACGGUGGAUCCGCGCCGGGUACGGGCGGGCUUGAGUGCGGUAGGGGAGACUGGAAUUCCCGGUGUAACGGUGGAAUGUGUAGAUAUCGGGAAGAACACCAAUGGCGAAGGCAGGUCUCUGGGCCGUUACUGACGCUGAGGAGCGAAAGCGUGGGGAGCGAACAGGAUUAGAUACCCUGGUAGUCCACGCCGUAAACGGUGGAUGCUGGAUGUGGGGCCCGUUCCACGGGUUCCGUGUCGGAGCUAACGCGUUAAGCAUCCCGCCUGGGGAGUACGGCCGCAAGGCUAAAACUCAAAGAAAUUGACGGGGGCCCGCACAAGCGGCGGAGCAUGCGGAUUAAUUCGAUGCAACGCGAAGAACCUUACCUGGGCUUGACAUGUUCCCGACGAUCCCAGAGAUGGGGUUUCCCUU